AAAAUCGCCCGCCGCGCCCCGCGCCCGGCCCGCCGCCCCCGCCCCCCUACGGGAGGCAGCAGUAGGGAAUCUUCCGCAAUGGACGAAAGUCUGACGGAGCAACGCCGCGUGAACGAUGAAGGCCUUCGGGUCGUAAAGCUCUGUUGUCAGGGAAGAACAAGUAUCGGAGUAACUGCCGGUACCUUGACGGUACCUGACCAGAAAGCCACGGCUAACUACGUGCCAGCAGCCGCGGUAAUACGUAGGUGGCAAGCGUUGUCCGGAAUUAUUGGGCGUAAAGCGCGCGCAGGCGGUUCCUUAAGUCUGAUGUGAAAGCCCCCGGCUCAACCGGGGAGGGUCAUUGGAAACUGGGGAACUUGAGUGCAGAAGAGGAGAGCGGAAUUCCACGUGUAGCGGUGAAAUGCGUAGAGAUGUGGAGGAACACCAGUGGCGAAGGCGGCUCUCUGGUCUGUAACUGACGCUGAGGCGCGAAAGCGUGGGGAGCGAACAGGAUUAGAUACCCUGGUAGUCCAUCCCGUAACCCGAUCCCCCCUAAGUGUUCCGAGGGUUUCUUUCCCCCCCCGCCGCCCGGCCCCGGACCGCGUCCACGCCCAACCUUUUUAUUUG
rnacentral:rRNA from 1 species